UCGAUCUCAAAUCAGGUAGGACUACCCGCUGAACUUAAGCAUAUCAAUAAGCGGAGGAAAAGAAACUAACAAGGAUUCCCCUAGUAACUGCGAGUGAAGCGGGAAGAGCUCAAAUUUAAAAUCCGACGUGCCUCUGGUCGUCCGAGUUGUAGUCUGAAGAAGCGUUUUCCGUGUUGGGCCGUGUAUAAGUCUCUUGGAACAGGGCGUCAUAGAGGGUGAGAAUCCCGUCUUUGACACGGACUACCAAUGCUUUGUGAUGCGCUCUCAAAGAGUCGAGUUGUUUGGGAAUGCAGCUCAAAAUGGGUGGUAAAUUCCAUCUAAAGCUAAAUAUAGGCGAGAGACCGAUAGCGAACAAGUACCGUGAGGGAAAGAUGAAAAGCACUUUGGAAAGAGAGUUAAACAGUACGUGAAAUUGCUGAAAGGGAAACGCUUGAAGUCAGUCGUGUCUGCCAGGACUCAGCUUUGCUCUCCCGCUUGGUGUAUUUUCUGGUUGGACAGGCCAACAUCAAUUUUGACCGUUGGAGAAAGGCUUUGGGAAUGUGGCACCUUCGGGUGUGUUAUAGCCCUUUGUCGUAUACGACGGUUGGGAUUGAGGACCGCAGCACGCCUUUAUGGCCGGGGUUCGCCCACGUACGUGCUUAGGAUGUUGGCAUAAUGGCUUUAAGCGACCCGUCUUGAAACACGGACCAAGGAGUCUAACAUGCCUGCGAGUGUUUGGGUGGAAAACCCAUGCGCGUAAUGAAAGUGACAGCUGAGAUCCUCUCAUCAGGAGCAUCAGCGCCUGGACUUGAUCUACGGAGACGGUUCUACGGUAGAGCAUGUAUGUUGGGACCCGAAAGAUGGUGAACUAUGCCUGAAUAGGGUGAAGCCAGAGGAAACUCUGGUGGAGGCUCGUAGCGAUUCUGACGUGCAAAUCGAUC
rnacentral:rRNA from 1 species